CGUCUGCUAUUUCUGCGGACAAAUUUUGGGGCACUCGCUAGGGGCGCUGACUGUCCGGAUCAGUCAUAACAUUUCCCUCCAAAACGUUGUUAACAACGAGAAAAGUAGUUGCUUGUCACAGUCUUCUUUUGGACUAAGCCACUCAAAGGUUACAGAAGAUGCCUAAUCGUUGUUUUGUGCCUAAUUGCAACUCGGGAUUCCCUGGGUCCACUACGACUGAAAAGGUGGCUUUUUUUUCAGCUCCAAGGGAUUCUAACCUGCUUCAACGUUGGAACCAUGCCAUCCCCAGACAAGACAAGAAGCUGCAACCUUCAUCCAAAGUUUGUUCUCUUCAUUUUGAAGAAAACGAUAUCAUCAAAGGAAGAAAUUUUAUCUCCAAGGAUGGUCAAGCUAUCUUUUAUCCAUUGAAAAAUUGAUCGUUGAAGACAGAUGCAUGGCCCCGACUGUUCCCAGAUUGUCCAGCCCACUUGAAUAAAGCAAGACCUUAUUGUGUGGGAGACAGGCAAAGGCAAAGGCUUUGGGAGGCCAAAUCUAAAGGCGUAUGUACAUGCUGAUGUCCCCUAUUCUUCUCUCGAUGCUUUGGCUCGCGGGUCGAAUGAACCUCUAGCUUAUUCUAUUAGGACUCGACUGGCGGUUGGAGGUUGGGAUAUAGGAUAAGGGAAGGAGAGAGAAAGAGAAUGGUGAACCUAUAAGAAAACGAGGGGAUGACGAGGGUUGGCUGAAUACAAAAGGUGUGAAAGCUGUAAGAUUCAGGAUGAGUACAAAAUGGGGAAAUUACUAUACACCUACCUGUCUAUCUUUAUGUGAAUGAAUAAGGUGUGCAAAGAAGGAAGGAGGCCUCCCCAAGUGUUAUUGCUAGUGACACUUUUCUUAUACAAAAGUCCCCCAACACCUACGGUGAUCGCAGGUGUGGGCGCUCGCCAACAAGCCGGAUGAUUGUCCGCAUGCUGCGGCAAUAUAAUAAUGACUUUGAUGUAAUGCUAAAUGAAUGAAAUGAUGUAUAAAAAAUUGUUGAUUUUGUCUGAA